rnacentral:lncRNA from 1 species
GAUAGGCUUGUAUCACUUCUUGCAUGGCAUAAUUCAUUUAUGGUGAUGGUUGAAUUUCUGUCAACAUGUAAACAAUAAACAAAUAGUAUCUCUGAUGGCUAUUUUUGGUGAGAGCUUCUGCGGAAGCUAUCUGGAUGGGCGAAAGCCAUUACUACCACUAGUUGGCUUUGUCAACUAGAUGAUAAGCCACCAACACCACUUUCUAGUUGUCGUUGAUGCACUAGUGUUCAAAACAUUAUUCAACAUGGUUAAACCACUUAGUCGGGUCAU